rnacentral:ncRNA from 1 species
ACCAACGCUUUCGGGGGCCUCGGUACAGGCAGGCUGGGGAAUCCCCUCUUUACAUGGCGCGUGCCACGGCUCUUCUAGCCGACGGCGGCGCAGACGGUUCAGGGGUCCUGGUACAGGCAGGCCGGGAAUCCCCUCUUUUACAAGGCGCGUACCACGGCCCGUCGAGGCGGUGGAUGGCGCAGACGGUUCAGGGGCCCUGGUACAGGCAGGCCGGGAAUCCCCUCUUUUACAAGGCGC